rnacentral:rRNA from 1 species
UUAUACCGUGAAACUGCGAAUGGCUCAUUAAAUCAGUUAUCGUUUAUUUGAUAGUACCUUACUACUUGGAUAACCGUGGUAAUUCUAGAGCUAAUACAUGCUGAAAACCCCAACUUCGGGAGGGGUGUAUUUAUUAGAUAAAAAACCAACGCCCUUCGGGGCUUCUUGGUGAUUCAUGAUAACUUCACGGAUCGCAUGGCCUUGCGCCGGCGACGGUUCAUUCAAAUUUCUGCCCUAUCAACUUUCGAUGGUAAGGUAUUGGCUUACCAUGGUUUCAACGGGUAACGGGGAAUUAGGGUUCGAUUCCGGAGAGGGAGCCUGAGAAACGGCUACCACAUCCAAGGAAGGCAGCAGGCGCGCAAAUUACCCAAUCCCGACACGGGGAGGUAGUGACAAUAAAUACUGAUACAGGGCUCUUUUGGGUCUUGUAAUUGGAAUGAGUACAAUUUAAACCUCUUAACGAGGAACAAUUGGAGGGCAAGUCUGGUGCCAGCAGCCGCGGUAAUUCCAGCUCCAAUAGCGUAUAUUAAAGUUGUUGCAGUUAAAAAGCUCGUAGUUGAAACUUGGGCCUGGCUGGCAGGUCCGCCUCACCGCGUGUACUUGUCCGGCCGGGCCUUUCCUUCUGGAGAACCUCAUGCCCUUCACUGGGUGUGCUGGGGAACCAGGACUUUUACUUUGAAAAAAUUAGAGUGUUCAAAGCACGCCUUUGCUCGAAUACGUUAGCAUGGAAUAAUAGAAUAGGACGUGCGGUCCUAUUUUGUUGGUUUCUAGGACCGCCGUAAUGAUUAAUAGGGACAGUCGGGGGCAUCAGUAUUCAUUUGUCAGAGGUGAAAUUCUUGGAUUUAUUGAAGACUAACUACUGCGAAAGCAUUUGCCAAGGAUGUUUUCAUUAAUCAGUGAACGAAAGUUAGGGGAUCGAAGACGAUCAGAUACCGUCGUAGUCUUAACCGUAAACUAUGCCGACUAGGGAUCGGGC